rnacentral:rRNA from 1 species
AUACGGAGGGUGCAAGCGUUACUCGGAAUCACUGGGCGUAAAGCGCGCGCAGGCGGGCUGAUAAGUUGGAUGUGAAAGCCUACGGCUCAACCGUAGAACUGCAUCCAAAACUGUCAGUCUCGAGUCUGGGAGGGGAAGAUGGAAUUAGUUGUGUAGGGGUAAAAUCCGUAGAGAUAACUAGGAAUACCAAAAGCGAAGGCGAUCUUCUGGAACAGUACUGACGCUGAGGCGCGAAAGCGUGGGGAGCAAACAGGAUUAGAAACCCUAGUAGUCC